rnacentral:rRNA from 1 species
GAUGAACGCUGGCGGCAGGCCUAAAACAUGCAAGUCGAACGCCCUAGCAAUAGGGAGUGGCGCACGGGUGAGUAACAUGUGGGAAUAUGCCUUUUGGUACGGAACAACGUUUGGAAACGAACGCUAAUACCGUAUGGUCCCUCCGGGGUAAAGAUUUAUCGCCAAAAGAUUAGCCCGCACUGGAUUAGCUAGUUGGUAAGGUAAUGGCUUACCAAGGCGACGAUCUAUAGCUGUUCUGAGAGGAAGAUCAGCCACACUGGGACUGAGACACGGCCCAGACUCCUACGGGAGGCAGCAGUUAGGAAUAUUGGACAAUGGGCGCAAGCCUGAUCCAGCCAUGCCGCGUGAGUGAUGAAGGCCUUCGGGUUGUAAAGCUCUUUAGCCGACGAAUAUAAUGACUGUAGUCGGAGAAUAAGCCCCGGCUAACUUCGUGCCAGCCGCCGCCGUAAGAC